rnacentral:lncRNA from 1 species
GGGACUUUCUCCACUGGAACCACAUUUCAGUAGAGAAUCAGGAAUCAAGAAAAACAAAAAAGGAUCUUCUGGAGCUGGUCCUUGGUUAAUCAAGUUGCAUUUGUCCGAUAAUGGCAUAGAUGGAAGAGGGAAAGAAGGAGAAAGAGGUGUAUUGGAAUUCACUCAACUUUUAACAUACUUUAUAAAAUAUUCUGACCACUUAAAGGAAAUAGAUCUUGGCAAUAAUGUUCUGGGAGAAAUUGCUGCUACUCAUAUACUGGAAGCAUUAAAGGACAGAAACAAAGGUAAACUGCCAAACUUACAAAUUAUAGUCAUCCCACAGAUUUCUUCAGAUACCUUCACAUCCAUCUGGGAAAACAGCAAGAAGUUUGGCUCUGCCCAUAAGAAAAAGAAGAAGGUAAGCAAAGAAUAGUCUA